rnacentral:tRNA from 1 species
GCCGGCAAGGCACAAUGGUCAAGUGCUCGACCAGAUAUCAUACAGGUCGUGGGUUCGAAUCCCACUGCAGGGG